rnacentral:rRNA from 1 species
UGAGCAAUCUGCCCUUCUCAUCGGAAUAAGCGUUGGAAACGACGUCUAAUGCCGAAUACGACCUCCUUUCGCAUGAUCGGAGGUGGAAAGCUCCGGCGGAGAAGGAUGAGCUCGCGGCCUAUCAGCUAGUUGGUGUGGGUAAUGGCCCACCAAGGCUUCGACGGGUAGCCGGCCUGAGAGGGCGACCGGCCACACUGGGACUGAGAUACGGCCCAGACUCCUACGGGAGCAG